GGAUGAACGCUGGCGGCGUGCCUAAUCCAUGCAAGUCGAGCGAACGGACGAGAAGCUUGCUUCUCUGAUGUUAGCGGCGGACGGGUGAGUAACACGUGGAUAACCUACCUAUAAGACUGGGAUAACUUCGGGAAACCGUAGCUAAUACCGGAUAAUAUUUUGAACCGCAUGGUUCAAAAGUGAAAGACGGUCUUGCUGUCACUUAUAGAUGGAUCCGCGCUGCAUUAGCUAGUUGGUAAGGUAACGGCUUACCAAGGCAACGAUGCAUAGCCGACCUGAGAGGGUGAUCGGCCACACUGGAACUGAGACACGGUCCAGACUCCUACGGGAGGCAGCAGUAGGGAAUCUUCCGCAAUGGGCGAAAGCCUGACGGAGCAACGCCGCGUGAGUGAUGAAGGUCUUCGGAUCGUAAAACUCUGUUAUUAGGGAAGAACAUAUGUGUAAGUAACUGUGCACAUCUUGACGGUACCUAAUCAGAAAGCCACGGCUAACUACGUG
rnacentral:rRNA from 1 species